rnacentral:rRNA from 1 species
AAGGAUUAGAUACCCUGGUAGUCCACGCCGUAAACGAUGAGAACUUGCUGUUGGAGCCUCUUGGGGUUUCAGUAGCGUAGCUAACGCGGUAAGUUCUCCGCCUGGGGAGUACGGUCGCAAGACUAAAACUCAAAGGAAUUGACGGGGACCCGCACAAGCGGUGGAGCAUGUGGUUUAAUUCGAUGCAACGCGAAGAACCUUACCUGGUCUUGACAUACUCGGAACAUCCAGAAAUGGAUUGGUGCCUUCGGGAACCGAGAUACAGGUGCUGCAUGGCU